rnacentral:rRNA from 1 species
CCCUAAACUCUGUUUCUAUAUGUAACUUCUGAGUAAAACCAUAAAUAAAUCAAAACUUUCAACAACGGAUCUCUUGGUUCUGGCAUCGAUGAAGAACGCAGCAAAAUGCGAUAAGUAAUGUGAAUUGCAGAAUUCAGUGAAUCAUCGAAUCUUUGAACGCACAUUGCGCCCGCCAGUAUUCUGGCGGGCAUGCCUGUUCGAGCGUCAUUUCAACCCUCAAGCCCCCGGGUUUGGUGUUGGGGAUCGGCGAGCCCUUGCGGCAAGCCGGCCCCGAAAUCUAGUGGCGGUCUCGCUGCAGCUUCCAUUGCGUAGUAGUAAAACCCUCGCAACUGGUACGCGGCGCGGCCAAGCCGUUAAACCCCCAACUUC